UACGUAGGGGGCUAGCGUUGUUCGGAUUUACUGGGCGUAAAGCGCACGUAGGCGGAUCGUUAAGUCGGGGGUGAAAUCCUGGAGCUCAACUCCAGAACUGCCUUCGAUACUGGCGAUCUUGAGUCCGGAAGAGGUGAGUGGAACUCCUAGUGUAGAGGUGGAAUUCGUAGAUAUUAGGAGGAACACCGGUGGCGAAGGCGGCUCACUGGUCCGGUACUGACGCUGAGGUGCGAAAGCGUGGGGAGCAAACAGG
rnacentral:rRNA from 1 species